GAGCUUAUGUCCAGUUACUCAUUUGGUCAAGAUGAGUAACUAGCCAAACGCCCUUGGAGAAAUGACACAAAAGCUGCCUCGGAUUUCUUCUUCUCGACCCCAGGCUCCACCUACGCACUCUAUUCCUUCCUCCUCUCCACCCCGGGCUCCACCUACCCACUCUAUUCCUUCCUCCUCUGGACCCCGGGCUCCACCUAUCCACUCUAUUCCCUCCUCCUCCCGACACCAGGCUCCACCUACCCACUCCAUUCCUUCCUCCUCUGGACCCCGAGCUCCACCUACCCACUCUUUUGCUUCCUCCUCACGAACCAGGGUUCCACCUACCCACUCCAUUCCUUCCUCCUCUGGACCCCGAGCUCCACCUACCCACUCUUUUGCUUCCUCCUCACAAACCAGGGCUCCACCUAUCCACUCUAUUCCUUCCUCCUCUCGACCCCGAGCUCCACCUACCCACUCUUUUCCUUCCUCCUCUCGAGCCCGAGCUCCACCUACCCACUCUUUUCCUUCCUUCUCUCAUUGUCCAAGGCCGUUUCCUCUUGUACGUAACUCUUUUUGUCCACAGAACACUCCCCAGCGUCAGCCACCUCUCUCAACUCAUAAGCCUAUCUCUUUCCCUCCUGUUCAUAGUGAUGUCCCUCCUGGCCGCCCCAAUGUACAGGUUUCCCCACCCAAAACUUCCUCUAUUCCUUCCAAAACCUCCAGCACCCGCUCCUCUUUUCUCUCUACUGUUCUCCAUUACUCCAGUUUGUUCUUUGAUCCUACUCCCCCUCCCAGCCCUAAGUAGACGUUAAAGUCUUCUGCUCCCCAACAUUCCAGCCAACUCCAUCCAGACCUCUGUGAUUCACAAAUCCUAUCCUGGAGAGAUCAUUUCCCUGUGAGUGGGGCGGUUCUGAUAUCAUCCAGAAUUGCCAGAACAAUCGAUCCCCAGGAGCUUCCCUUGGUGAAUGUUGAGAACUCAAGACAAUGCCAAUCAACAUUUAGCUUGCAGGCCGGACUGAAUGAAUUCUACAUUUAUAACUGGUUUCUCCAUGGAAUUUGGUCUGUGACCACAGAGCAAACAGCAAGACCAGGGACACAAGGUAGAGAAGAGCGAGUGGAAAUCAUGUCAUCUGAUCUCUACACAGAUUCCGUGGAAUCUCAAUCAAAAUUCAGACACAUAUCUUUAGGAAAGGUGAGAAGCUGAUGAUACUUUGCAAUGACAGGCAAAAGAGCCAGGAAUACCCAUGACUCCUUUAAGAACUGCUUCUCUAAGAUGGACGUGUCAGAGCGCUUGCUGUUGCUUCUCCGUGUAACCACGUCAACAACGUCCAUUCUUUCAUCCUGUGAUCGUGUGCUGAGCCCCUGUGGUGUGCUGGCCCAGGCCCCACGGACUUUGAACCCAGGUCGCCCUCCCUCCCCCUGGGGCGUCCUUCUGAUGCCCACGAUCUCCUCUCUGGGUCAGCCCGGAACGUGAUGACCACAGGCUGAACCAUGUCAGGGUGCACAGCGAUAUCGCGCUCCACAACGCUAAAGUGUGGAGCUUGGGAGAAGAUGAUCGCCACACGGAGUGUUCAGCGCCCAUCUCAGCCUCGUUCCUGAAACCCAGCCUGUGUGCUGCGUGGAUAAAUAAAGAGGACUUUCAAGCGUCAGUCGCACCUUUCCUUUGUGGAGUCUCACAUUUUUCUGCCCGCAUGCACUGGUUCAAAUCCUUCAUCUUGGGCAUGGCUGCGGGGCCCAGCGGUUUAGCACCUGCCUUCAGCCCAGGGCGUGAUCCUGGAGUCCCCAGCGGUUUAGCACCUGCCUUCAGCCCAGGGCGUGAUCCUGGAGUCCCGGCAUCCAGCUGCACAGCCGGCUCCCUGCCUGGAGCCUGCGUUCCCCCUGCCUGUGUCGCUACCUGUCUCUCUCUGUGUCUCUCGUGAUUACAUAUAUACAAUCUUUAAAAAGUUCGUGGUGUCCAUCUGAAGUGUAUACUAUCCACUGAUUUCUUUAUCUCAAUGACUCCAUUUUUCUUUCUGGGGCUGGUUUCGUUGUUUGUUUGUUUUGGCAUCUGUUCUUCAGUGUCUUGUACUUUUUCAUAGAAUUUCAAGUUCUUGUUCUACGCCUUUCAUGACGUGAAAUUAUUGGUGAAGUAUUUGUGUAAAUAUGCCCUUUUUUAUACCUGUUGACCAUCCCUCACAUGGAUUGUUUGCUCGUCUGUUUCCUAAUUUUGGAUUGUGAGCUCACCUUCAGCGGGGCUUUCCUUGUGAUCUGGACCAUGGUGGUGCUCCUACAGUGUGACAAAUAUUCUAUCUAACACCUCAGAAGUCCCAUGGACCUAAAACCAGUUUCAUUUUUGGCUGUGGAUCUCUAUAUCACCUAGCUCACAUCUUGGACUCAAAACCCGGGCAAGCGCCGGCCUGAAUGAAUUCUACAUUUAUAACUGGUUUCUCCAUGGAAUUUGGUCUGUGACCACAGAGCAAACAGCAAGACCAGGGACACAAGGUAGAGAAGAGCGAGUGGAAAUCAUGUCAUCUGAUCUCUACACAGCUUCUCUAAGAUGGACGUGUCAGAGCGCUUGCUGUUGCUUCUCCGUGUAACCACGUCAACAACGUCCAUUCUUUCAUCCUGUGAUCGUGUGCUGAGCCCCUGUGGUGUGCUGGCCCAGGCCCCACGGACUUUGAACCCAGGUCGCCCUCCCUCCCCCUGGGGCGUCCUUCUGAUGCCCACGAUCUCCUCUCUGGGUCAGCCCGGAACGUGAUGACCACAGGCUGAACCAUGUCAGGGUGCACAGCGAUAUCGCGCUCCACAACGCUAAAGUGUGGAGCUUGGGAGAAGAUGAUCGCCACACGGAGUGUUCAGCGCGCAUCUCAGCCUCGUUCCUGAAACCCAGCCUGUGUGCUGCGUGGAUAAAUAAAGAGGACUUUCAAGCGUCAGUCGCACCUUUCCUUUGUGGAGUCUCACAUUUUUCUGCCCGCAUGCACUGGUUCAAAUCCUUCAUCUUGGGCAUGGCUGUGGGGCCCAGCGGUUUAGCACCUGCCUUCAGCCCAGGGCG